rnacentral:rRNA from 1 species
GAUGAACGCUGGCGGCGUGCCUAAUACAUGCAAGUCGAGCGAAUGGAUUAAGAGCUUGCUCUUAUGAAGUUAGCGGCGGACGGGUGAGUAACACGUGGGUAACCUGCCCAUAAGACUGGGAUAACUCCGGGAAACCGGGGCUAAUACCGGAUAACAUUUUGAACCGCAUGGUUCGAAAUUGAAAGGCGGCUUCGGCUGUCACUUAUGGAUGGACCCGCGUCGCAUUAGCUAGUUGGUGAGGUAACGGCUCACCAAGGCAACGAUGCGUAGCCGACCUGAGAGGGUGAUCAGCCAGACUGGGACUGAGACCCGGCCCAAACUCCUACGGGAGGCAGCAGUAGGGAAUCUUCCGUAAUGGACGAAAGUCUGACGGAGCAACGCCGCGUGAGUGAUGAAGGCUUUCGGGUCGUAAAACUCUGUUGUUAGGGAAGAACAAGUGCUAGUUGAAUAAGCUGGCACCUUGACGGUACCUAACCAGGAAGCCACGGCUAACUACGUGCCAGCCGCCGCGGUAA